rnacentral:rRNA from 1 species
UACGUAGGGUGCAAGCGUUGUCCGGAAUUAUUGGGCGUAAAGAGCUGUAUGAGCGGUUUGUCGCGUCUGCUGUGAAACUUGGGGCUCAACCCCGACCUGCAGUGGUACGGGCAGACUAGAGUCGAGGUAGGGGAGAAUGGAAUUCCCGGUGUAGCGGUGAAAUGCGCAGAUAUCGGGAGGAACACCGGUGGCGAAGGCGACUCUUUGGCCUGUAACUGACGCUGAGGCGCGAAAGCGUGGGGAGCAAACAGG